GACAGAGGGUGCAAACGUUUGUUCGGAAUUACUGGGCGUAAAGCGCGUGUAGGCAGCUGUGCAAGUCGGGUGUGAAAGCCCUGGGCUCAACCUAGGAAGUGCACUCGAAACUGCAAGCUGGAGUCCUGGAGAGGAAGGCGGAAUUCUCGGUGUAGAGGUGAAAUUCGUAGAUAUCGAGAGGAACACCGGUGGCGAAGGCGCCUUCUGGACAGUGAACUUGACGCUGAGACGGCGAAAGCGUGGGGAGCAAACAGGG
rnacentral:rRNA from 1 species